CGGCGGACGGGUGAGUAACACGUGGGCACCUGCCCUGUAGACGGGGAUAACACCGAGAAAUCGGUGCUAAUACCGGAUAACACGAAAACCGCAUGGUUUUUCGUUGAAAGGCGGCGCAAGCUGUCGCUACAGGAUGGGCCCGCGGCCAUUAGCUAGUUGGUGAGGUAACGGCUCACCAAGGCGACGAUGCGUAGCCGACCUGAGAGGUGAUCGGCCACACUGGGACUGAGACACGGCCCAGACUCCUACGGGAGGCAGCAGUAGGAAUCUUCCGCAAUGGACGAAAGUCUGACGGAGCAACGCCGCGUGAGCGAAGAAGGCCUCGGGUCGUAAAGCUCUGUUGUUAGGGAAGAACAAGUACCGCAGUCACUGGCGGUACCUUACGGUACCUAACGAGAAAGCCACGGCUAACUACGUGCCAGCAGCCGCGGUAAUACGUAGUGGCAAGCGUUGUCCGGAAUUAUUGGGCGUAAAGCGCGCGCAGGCGGUUCCUUAAGUCUAUGUGAAAGCCCACGGCUCAACCGUGGAGGGUCAUUGGAAACUGGGGGACUUGAGUGCAAAGAGGAGAGCGGAAUUCCACGUGUAGCGGUGAAAUGCGUAGAGAUGUGGAGGAACACCGUGGCGAAGGCGGCUCUCUGGUCUGUAACUGACGCUGAGGCGCGAAAGCGUGGGGAGCAACAGGAUUAGAUACCCUGGUAGUCCACGCCGUAAACGAUGAGUGCUAAGUGUUAGAGGGAUCCACCCUUUAGUGCUGUAGCUAACGCAUUAAGCACUCCGCCUGGGGAGUACGCUCGCAGAGUGAAACUCAAAGGAAUUGACGGGGGCCCGCACAAGCGGUGGAGCAUGUGGUUUAAUCGAAGCAACGCGAAGAACCUUACCAGGUCUUGACAUCCCCUGACAACCCGAGAGAUCGGGCGUUCCCCCUUCGGGGGGACAGGGUGACAGGUGGUGCAUGGUUGUCGUCAGCUCGUGUGUGAGAUGUUGGGUUAAGUCCCGCAACGAGCGCAACCCUCGACCUUAGUUGCCAGCAUCAGUUGGGCACUCUAAGGUGACUGCCGGCUAAAAGUCGGAGGAAGGUGGGGAUGACGUAAAUCAUCAUGCCCCUUAUGACCUGGGCUACACACGUGCUACAAUGGGCGGUACAAAGGUUGCGAACCCGCGAGGGGGAGCCAAUCCCAAAAAGCCGCUCUCAGUUCGGAUUGCAGGCGCAACUCGCCUGCAUGAAGCCGGAAUCG
rnacentral:rRNA from 1 species